rnacentral:rRNA from 1 species
AUAUUGGACAAUGGGGGAAACCCUUAUCCAGCGACGCCGCGUGAGGGAAGAAGGUUUUCGGAUUGUAAACCUCUGUCAGUGGGGACGAAGAAAGUGACUGUACCCACAGAAUAAGCCUCGGCUAACUACGUGCCAGCAGCCGCGGUAAUACGUAGGAGGCAAGCGUUAUCCGGAAUGACUGGGCGUAAAGGGUUCGUAGGUGGUUUGGCAAGUUAGUAGCGUAAUUCCGGGGCUCAACUUCGGAACUACUACUAAAACUGCUGGGCUUGAGUGCAGGAGGGGCAUAUGGAAUUCCUAGUGUAGCGGUGGAAUGCGUAGAUAUUAGGAGGAACACCAGUGGCGAAGGCGAUAUGCUGGACUGUAACUGACACUGAGGCACGAAAGCGUGGGGAGCAAACAG